rnacentral:rRNA from 1 species
UACAGAGGGGGCAAGCGUUGUUCGGAAUUACUGGGCGUAAAGGGCGCGUAGGCGGCCUGUUAAGUCGAACGUGAAAUCCCUGGGCUCAACCCGGGAACUGCGUCCGAUACUGGCAGGCUUGAAUUCGGGAGAGGGAUGCGGAAUUCCAGGUGUAGCGGUGAAAUGCGUAGAUAUCUGGAGGAACACCGGUGGCGAAGGCGGCAUCCUGGACCGAUAUUGACGCUGAGGCGCGAAAGCCAGGGGAGCAAACGGG